UUUUUUUUAUCAACCUCUUCUGUCUUCUACCAUUAUUCAAUAAAACACGAAAAAAUUUCAAAAUUUUUCAGAAAUCUUCCAUUCCUUUUCAUAAAAUCUGAGGCUUAUUCAGAAAAUAUCAUAUUUUGUAAUGAAAUCUUAUAUUUCCAGCCACUUAUACGAUAUUGCUUACAUGAUAUCUAAAACUAACAACUAAGAAAAACAAGUAAGCACUUACCCUGUAUUCAUGGAGCGCCGCCAAAAAACCACACGAAUU
rnacentral:lncRNA from 1 species